rnacentral:rRNA from 1 species
GAUGAACGCUGGCGGCGUGCCUAAUACAUGCAAGUCGAGCGAACAGAUGAGGAGCUUGCUCCUCUGACGUUAGCGGCGGACGGGUGAGUAACACGUGGAUAACCUACCUAUAAGACUGGGAUAACUUCGGGAAACCGGAGCUAAUACCGGAUAAUAUAUUGAACCGCAUGGUUCAAUAGUUAAAGACGGUUUUGCUGUCACUUAUAGAUGGAUCCGCGCCGCAUUAGCUAGUUGGUAAGGUAACGGCUUACCAAGGCAACGAUGCGUAGCCGACCUGAGAGGGUGAUCGGACACACUGGCACUGAGACACGGUCCAGACUCCUACGGGAGGCAGCAGUAGGGAAUCUUCCGCAAUGGGCGAAAGCCUGACGGAGCAACGCCGCGUGAGUGAUGAAGGUCUUCGGAUCGUAAAACUCUGUUAUUAGGGAAGAACAAAUGUGUAAGUAACUAUGCACGUCUUGACGGUACCUAAUCAGAAAGCCUCGGCUAACUACGUG